GACGAACGCUGGCGGCGUGCUUAACACAUGCAAGUCGAACGGAAAGGCCCUGCUUUUGUGGGGUGCUCGAGUGGCGAACGGGUGAGUAACACGUGAGUAACCUGCCCUUGACUUUGGGAUAACUUCAGGAAACUGGGGCUAAUACCGGAUAGGAGCUCCUGCUGCAUGGUGGGGGUUGGAAAGUUUCGGCGGUUGGGGAUGGACUCGGGGCUUAUCAGCUUGUUGGUGGGGUAGUGGCUUACCAAGGCUUUGACGGGUAGCCGGCCUGAGAGGGUGACCGGCCACAUUGGGACUGAGAUACGGCCCAGACUCCUACGGGGGGCAGCAGUGGGGAAUAUUGCACAAUGGGCGGAAGCCUGAUGCAGCAACGCCGCGUGCGGAAUGACGGCCUUCGGGUUGUAAACCGCUUUCGCCUGUGACGAAGCGUGAGUGACGGUAAUGGGUAAAGAAGCACCGGCUAACUACGUG
rnacentral:rRNA from 1 species